UACAGAGGUGGCAAGCGUUGUUCGGAUUUAUUGGGUGUAAAGGGCAGGUAGGUGGUUGUGUAAGUCCGCUGUGAAAUCCUAGGGCUCAACCCUAGAACUGCAGUAGAAACUACACGACUUGAGUGUCGGAGAGGUGAGGGGAAUUCUCGGUGUAAGGGUGAAAUCUGUAGAUAUCGAGAGGAAUACCAGUGGCGAAGGCGCCUCACUGGCCGACAACUGACACUGAGCUGCGAAAGCAAGGGGAGCAAACAGG
rnacentral:rRNA from 1 species